GUGCCAUGAUGAAGGCAUUUGGGCAACAACUCCUUAAAUCACUCCCAUUACUCAUAUAAAGAUUCUUCAUCAAGUUGCUGAAAUGAAGUAGUCUCAUUGCGGAGCUU